UCAGAUGGCUGGAAGACCGCUGCUGUGUUUUUAUGAACUCAGGAGAGGAAAGUCCGGGCACCACGGAAGAACGGUGCUGGUUAAUGGCCAGCGAAGGUAACUUCAGGGAAAGUGCCACAGAAAGCAAACCGCCAAUUUUAUUGGUAAGGGUGAAAGGGUGCGGUAAGAGCGCACCGCCUUUUUGGUGACAAGAAGGGCAUGGUAAACCCCACCGGGUGCAAAAUCGAAUAGGAACGACAGGCCUUGGCCGCUUCCUUCCGAAGUGUCGUUCGGGUUGAUUGCAAGAGGUAGCUGGCAACAGUUAUCCUAGAUGAAUGGUCUUACAAAUGAGUGAUCAUUGGACAGAACCCGGCUUAUAGGCCAUCUGACAUU
rnacentral:RNase_P_RNA from 1 species